rnacentral:RNase_P_RNA from 1 species
CGAGCUCGCCAGACAGUCGCCGCCGGUCCGCCGGGGGAGGAAAGUCCGGGCUCCGCAGGGCAAGGUGCCAGGUAACGCCUGGGCGGCGUGAGCCGACGGAAAGUGCAACAGAAAGUAUACCGCCUAAGCGCCUUCGGGCGCCGGUAAGGGUGAAACGGUGCGGUAAGAGCGCACCGCGUGGCUGGCAACAGUCCACGGCGAUGGUAAACCCCACCUGGAGCAAGACCAAAUAGGAAUCCGAUGGCGUGGCCCGCGCUGGAUUCGGGUAGGUUGCUUGAGGCCUGUGGUGACGCAGGCCCUAGAUGAAUGACUGUCCAAGACAGAACCCGGCUUAUCGGCGAGCUCGCCUU